rnacentral:lncRNA from 1 species
CAACCACAUUUGAUUGGUCUGCAAGAGUGCGUCUUGGAGGAGUUCUUUCAGCCAUCUCCUCUGUUCUUCUAUCUGGUGAAGGUGAUAGUAAUCUUUCAGGGGAAGGAAACAAAUCCCUAGAUGGGCGUCUGACUCUCCUUCUCCCCCUUUCCUCGCUUAAGCCUUCAAGAAGAGGUUGCGUAUUUUUCUUGCUUCUAGUAUGUCUGGGCUCCUGCUGCAUGCACAAGAAACACAAACCCUAAUAGC